AAAGGAGGAUCAGUCCUGGGUAUAUACUCUUUUGUUCUCUCGCCUGAAUUUUCUUCAUUAUCAGAGUGACAGAAGGAGAGUGUGUUCUAAAAGAAAGAAGUUUUCUCCAACCUUAGGCCUUGACUAUUAGUUUAAUCAUAGUUUAUCUCUUAAUUCCCUAAUUAUUUGGUAUUUAACUACAUUCCUCAACGCCAUUAUUAUAUCGAGUUUGGCCAUAGUUGCACGCAUGAUCUAUGUCUUCCUCACGUCUUUUUGUCUCCUCCCCUUUAUGCAUAGUGGAGUGGUACAAGACUUUGGUAGAGUUCACCUACAACAUUGGUUCGC